CCACAGCAGCUGCUUUGGUAAUACUGACUCCCUCCAUUUUCUUUCCACUGUUAUUUAAGCUAUGUAAAGUUGCGUUUUCACGAAAAGCAUCCAGUUAGCAUCGCUUCAGCAUCAGUCUCGCGCCCAACACUGGAUUAGUCAUGAAGGAAAUGAAGCACUUCUGACCCGUUGUCUCAGCCACCGUUACAGGCUACAAAGACUCUUCAUGAUAAAUCACAGAGGUGAGGGGAAGAGGUGGUUACAAGAACAACAUCACCAGUAUCUUUCAAAUACAUUAAGAGCUGAAGCUUGUGUCACAUAAUGAGUCAGCAGGGGACUUUCUGCAAUCUCUUUGAGGCCUGGGAAUGGGGCAGUUCUGUCUGCCUCUCCUCUGAGCUGGGACCUCCCUUGGCCAGGAGUCAGGCCCUGCUGCCCCAGCCACUGGGGCCGAAGACAUCCCACAGCCUCGCUGGAAAUGUCUGAGACUCGGGUCCCAUCCAAAGCCCACUUUGCCUGCAGUGGGUCUGGCGACGGAGCAACCCUUAAGGCACGCUACUCCACCACCUUUCCUGCCUGUGACAUAGUCCCAAUCCCAAAGCGGCCCGUGGGGCCUGGGAGGAAAGCCGAUCGCUGAGCCAAGAGGGCAGUGGCACCUCACCUUCAUGGGGCCCUGAAAUUGCACACAGCACUCCUGCGUGCUAGAACAGCACAGGCAGGAAACUAGGUCUCCAUUUAACA